UCGGAACGAAGUAAGGGCAAAUGGUGAAUGCCUUGACAUUAAAAGUCUAUGAAGGACGUAGCAGCCUGCGAUAAGCUUCGGUGAGGUGGCAAGCAACCUUUGAUCCGGAGAUCUCCGAAUGGGGAAACCCAUCUGAGUAAACCUCAGAUAUCUUUUACUAAAUUCAUAGGUAAAAGAAGAAGACCUGGGGAAUUGAAACAUCUUAGUACCCAGAGGAAAAGAAAAUAAUAACCUACUUUGUAGGUCCAUUUCCCUAGUAGUGGCGAACGAACGGGAAUCAGCCCAAACCAUUAUUUUAGAGUUUUUAAUUCUAAGAUAGUGGGGUUGUAGGAUAAUACCUUUUGUUUAAUCAAGCUAAAGUUAUCAAUAGAAUUUUUAACAGAACAACCUGGAAAGGUUGACCAAAGAGGGUGACAGUCCUGUAUGUAAAAAAAAUUCUACUUUAGUGGUUUUAUCCUGAGUAGCAUGGGACACGAGAAAUCCUAUGUGAAUCUGCCGGGACUAUCCGGUAAGGCUAAAUACUUUUAAUGAUCGAUAGUGAACUAGUACCGUGAGGGAAAGGUGAAAAGCAUCCCGAUUAGGGAGAUGAAAUAGUAUCUGAAACCAUUUGCUUACAAGCAACGGGAGCCCAUAUGGGUGACCGUGUGCCUAUUGAAGAAUGAGCCAACGAGUUAAUGUAUCUAGCUAGUCUAAGGUCGACAGACCGUAGGCGAAGUGAAAGCGAGGUUUAACCGCCUAUUUAGCGUAACAUAUUAGACCCGAAGCCAAGUGAUCUAUCCAUGUCCAGGAUGAAGCUCCGCGAAGGCGGAGUGGAGGUCCGAACCCACUCGCCGUGCAACACGAGGGGAUGAGGUGUGGAUAGUGGUGAAAUGCUAAUCGAACUUGGCGAUAGCUGGUUCUCCUCGAAACAACUUUAGGGUUGGCCCUGUAAACUACUUUUAGGAGGUAGAGCACUGAAUGGGUGUGGGUGGUCUAUGACCUACCGUACCUAACCAAACUCCGAAUUCCUAAAAGAUUAUUACAGGAGUUAGACUGUGGGGGCUAAGCUUCACUAGUCAAAAGGGAAACAGCCCAGAUCGCAAUCUAAGGUCCCAAAAUCUAAAUUAAGUGUGAAAGGUAGUGUCACAACUUAUACAACCAGGAGGUUGGCUUAGAAGCAGCCAUCCUUUAAAGAAAGCGUAAUAGCUCACUGGUCAAGUCAUGAUGCGCCGAAAAUUUAACGGGGCUAAAUUUAGUACCGAAGAUGCGAAUUAUAUACUUAUUUAUAAAUAUAUAGUGGUAGAGGAGCAUUCCUAAGGCGUUGAAGCCGGAUCCGCGAGGGCCGGUAGAGCGUUAGGAAGAGAGAAUGUUGGUAUAAGUAACAAAAAUUGAGGUGAGAACCCUCAACACCGUAAGUCUCAGGUUUCCUGGGCAACGUAACUCGACCCAGGGUUAGUCGGUCCUAAGGCGAGGCCGAAAGGCGUAGUCGAUGGAACAGCUGGUUAAUAUUCCAGCACCACUUUUAGUUUGUUUAGUAUUGACGCAUGUGGAAUUUUGGAGCGUUUUUUGGCUAUAAACGUUGCGAAAGUGAAAGCGUAAGCAAAAGAGUGAUCCUCCGGGUGAACUCAAUUUUGAAAAACCUAGUGCCUAGAAAAUUUAUUAAGCGUUAAGUUAAAAGUGUCCGUACCGCAAACCAACACAGGUAGACGAGGCGAGUAGCCUCAGGUGUACGAGAGAACCUUCGUUUAGGAACUCGGCAAAACAGCGGCCGUAAGUUUGCAAUAAGGCCCGCCCUCUUUUAGAGGGCCGCAGCGAAAGAUCUCAA
rnacentral:rRNA from 1 species